GGAGCCCUGGGUUCAGGCCCAGCCACUGACUUGCUAUGGUCCUGGACCAGUCACUGUCCUUAAGUCCAGCCCAGGAGGGGUUUGGGGUGCUGGGCACGGCCCUGAGGCAGUGCCGUGCCCAGCAUGGCUUCACCAGCCUGUGUCCUUUCAUAGCCUGCCCUCCUAUACCUGGUCCCCGCCUGCAUCGGUUUUCCUGUCCUGGUGGCGCUGGCCAAGGGAGAAGUGACAGAGAUGUUCAGUUAUGAGGAGUCAAAUCCUAAGGAUCCAGCGGCAGUGACAGAAUCCAAAGAGGGAACAGAGGCAUCAGCAUCGAAGGGGCUGGAGAAGAAAGAGAAAUGAUGCGGCUGGUGCCCGAGCCUCUCAGGGCCAGAC
rnacentral:sRNA from 1 species